GACGAACGCUGGCGGCGUGCUUAACACAUGCCAGUCGAACGGAAAGGCCCCUUUGGGGGUACUCGAGUGGCGAACGGGUGAGUAACACGUGCGUAACCUGCCCUUGACUUCGGGAUAACUUCAGGAAACUGGGGCUAAUACCGGAUAGGAAUCCUUGCUGCAUGGUGGGGGUUGGAUAGCUUCGGCGGUUUUGGAUGGACUCGCGGCUUAUCAGCUUGUUGGUGGGGUAGUGGCUUACCAAGGCUUCGACGGGUAGCCGGCCUGAGAGGGCGACCGGCCACAUUGGGACUGAGAUACGGCCCAGACUGCGACGGGAGGCAGCAGUGGGGAAGCUUGCACAAGGGGCGGAAGCCGGAUGCAGCAACGCCGCGUGCGGGAUGACGGCCUUCGGGUUGUAAACCGCUUUCAGCAGGGGCGAAGCUUGUGGUGACGGUACCUGCAGAAGAAGCACCGGCUAACUACGUG
rnacentral:rRNA from 1 species